UCCUGUCCUAGAUUGCGUAAAGUUAUAUCAAGCGAUCAUCUGAUUUCCUGUGUACUAGACUAAUUCAAGCAGUUGAUUGUAGAGUGAUUCUGAGGUCACUCUUGUGUAAAAAAAAAUCCUAUUUUAUGACCGCACCAACAGUGUAUAAGGCCUGGCACAAGCAAUUCAGGCAGCUAUCAUAAGGCAGAUCACGAGCUAUUAGGUUCUUUUCAAAGACUAUUCUAUGUUUUUUGUUACAACUGCUGUUACCAGAUUCUAAAUUAGUAAACGUAACAGAAAACUGCCAUGAACCUUGAAUUCAUAUUUCUUGGCAGCAUUGUGCUUGCAACCAUUUUUGUCUUCCUGAAGAUUUUACUAGAGAUUUUCAACAUUCUCUCUGUUUGAUUUUGGAAAUUUGACACUAAUUUCAAUUUUAUUCACAUCCAAUUGUUGUGUAUAUGCUGUCUUUUGCUUGUAUCAACUGUAAUGCAACUGAAGGAUACUUAGCCAAAAAGAUCAAGGACAUUGCUGGAGAAUACCGCUGAAAUUCUCUAGAUAACACUAUAUGAAUGGCCACCAAAGUUAACAUCUCGUAUAGCUGUAAGGACAACACCUUCUAUGUAAAACAAGAACGAUGCUGUGACUCUUCUGGUGAACAAUUUCAAUCAUAUUAUGGUGACUACAUCCCAUAUUCAAUACCCAUGUUCAGGCAAAUUGUAGUUCAUCUGGACAUCGUAGAAUGACUACUGGCUCGAAUAAAGAAAAAUAAAGUGCUAUCUGUGAGAAACCCAUUAUUCCACUUAAAUGCUAAGCAGAUACAUUCUAUGGAUGUCACAAUAGACACAGUGUAACCAGUCAAUAAAUUGUUGAAAUAAGAAAA